rnacentral:snoRNA from 9 species
GCUCUGUGAUGAACCCCAUGCGUGUCAUCUGAGCCUGGCUUCCCUGUCUUCUCAGCCCAGGUAGUGUUCUACUUCCCAGGGCUGUUGUCUGGCCUGGCAGGGGGCUCCUGGGCAAAGGAUCAGUCUUUGUAUUCUGAGAGC